AUUUUUAGAGCCAAUAGACUGCAAGAACAAAAAUACAGACCCAAUAGAUCCUAGAUUUUUAAGAGCUAAAAAUCCUGCAAAGUUGAGGGACCAAAGAGAUUUCUAAGAGCUGAAAGUCCUGAAAAUCAAAACGACUGGAAACUCUAUGAAAAUACUGCUUCAUGGAGUUAUUGUUCCUUCUCUCCUUUGGUUUCUGUAGCCUUUAACCUCUGAAAUACCUUCUGAAUAUCCUAUGGAUUUAGGUUAGUGCUAGUUUGUAUGUUCUAAAAGGAGUUUAGGUUUGAAGUUUGUGGAAGUUAGUGUUUCUUUGGUUUCUUCUUGUGACCUCUUCAACUCUAAUUCCUGGACUAGCUUUCUAAACUAUCUGGGUUGAGAUGAAUGGAAUCUGUUGUUGAAUUUUGUUGUUGAGCAUCAGUUUUGUUGGUCUAAAGCUAUUUCCUGGGUUUAGUUCUACUGUUGGGCCCUGCUAUUUUGCUGCUGACUUUCUUCCCUUAUUCUUUUCCAUUUCCAGGUAUUUCUCAACCUCUGAAUGAGUGAAUGUUUUGGUUGAGCAAGUAAGCUGAAACACUGGUGGAAUACAGGCUUUUGGGAGUUUAAAUUAUCUUGUGAUUUUCCUGUUACUUUAGUAUUCUUGUAAUAGAUAUGUAAUUUUCAUGCUGUUCAUCUAUAUGUUUAGAGUGGUGUAGGUAGUUGAAUAUGAAUGUCUCAUUAUCAUGUUAUAGUUAGAUCAUGGGUUUUUAUUGCUAUAUGAGCAGAGUUUUUUCUUCUUUUUGUGUUAAUGGAGCCUAUAUGUUAA
rnacentral:lncRNA from 1 species